CCAGCUCCAAUAGCGUAUAUUAAAGUUGUUGCAGUUAAAAAGCUCGUAGUUGGAUUUCUGGUGUGGCGCGGCCGGCCCGCCGCCCUCUGGGCGUGUGAGUGUCGGUUCGCGUCUACCAUCCUUCUAGAGAGCAGCUCUGCCAUUCACUUGGUUGGGGUUGCGAUCUGGAUCUUUUACUUUGAAAAAAUUAGAGUGUUCAAAGCAGGCUUGCGCCACUGAAUACAUUAGCAUGGAAUAAUAAAAUAGGACUUUGGUUCUAUUUUGUUGGUUUCUAGGACCGAAGUAAUGAUUGAUAGGGAUAGUUGGGGGUGCUAGUAUUGAACGGCCAGAGGUGAAAUUCUUGGAUUCGUUCAAGACUAACUUAUGCGAAAGCAUUCACCAAGGAUGUCUUCU
rnacentral:rRNA from 1 species